AUAAGAUAAUAAAAUUAAUUCCUUUUUGCUCCAAUUUGAUCUCCAUGAAUCACAAAGCAUUAUUCUUAGCUUUUUUUUGUCAUAAUCCUCUGUCUAUUCUCAGCAACCUCUAGAAGAUUGACAGGUAAUAGUUGCAAUGGCUAUAAAUCUCAAGAAGAAUCGUAUCCACCAUGUAGUUCCCUCUACUUUAUCGAUCCUCAGAUACUAGAAAUUCAAUCCCCAGAUUCAAUAUCGUCAUCUGCUCCUGGAGCAUGAACAGAGAUUGAGUAACAAAAAAGUUAUAUUGAGCAAGAACUUUAUAUUAUAUUUAUGUAU